GACGAACGCUGGCGGCGUGCUUAACACAUGCAAGUCGAGCGGAAAGGCCCUGCUUUUGUGGGGUGCUCGAGUGGCGAACGGGUGAGUAACACGUGAGUAACCUGCCCUUGACUUUGGGAUAACUUCAGGAAACUGGGGCUAAUACCGGAUAGGAGCUCCUGCUGCAUGGUGGGGGUUGGAAAGUUUCGGCGGUUGGGGAUGGACUCGCGGCUUAUCAGCUUGUUGGUGGGGUAGUGGCUUACCAAGGCUUUGACGGGUAGCCGGCCUGAGAGGGUGACCGGCCACAUUGGGACUGAGAUACGGCCCAGACUCCUACGGGAGGCAGCAGUGGGGAAUAUUGCACAAUGGGCGGAAGCCUGAUGCAGCAACGCCGCGUGCGGGAUGACGGCCUUCGGGUUGUAAACCGCUUUCGCCUGUGACGAAGCGUGAGCGACGGUAAUGGGUAAAGAAGCACCGGCUAACUACGUG
rnacentral:rRNA from 1 species